ensembl:lncRNA
AUGUUGCUUCCUAUCACAUUUUGUUUGCACCCUAACAGGAUUAUGAAAGCAUCCCAGGCCGAGUGUUUUCUGCGCACCCACCUGUGCAGAAUUGUAGAGCGUGUGAGAAAUGUGGACAGUUUGGUUGACUUCCUGAGUCAACCACGUUCCUCUGAGCAGAGCCUUCUUUCUAAAGAAAUGGUCAGUAAGAUCCGUGCUCAGAAAACAGAGGAAGCUAAAAUGCGUAAACUUUAUGAGCACCUGAACUCAACCAGAGGAUGGGAGUUGACACUGCAAUGGCUGAAGGACAAUGAGCCUGAUGUGAUUAAAGAGCUGGAAAACAGCAGCGAGGCAGACAGUGAAGCCCCAGCAAGAAAGAGGUGCAGAAGCUCUGCAGAAGUGGAUCAGACAGACAGUGGCCUUGCAGCACCUAAUCUCAAGACCCUGUUCACCUUUGCCAGCAUGGAAAAAUGGGUCUCUGAUUUGGAAAACAGCCAGAAACACACUGAUGAGCUGAAAGCCAAACUUGCAGGUGGUCAAAUGGAGGCACUGAAAGAAAACCUGAAAGAUAAGAAGCUGAAAAAAAGUUUUUAUUUCAGCAUCAGUGAGGUUAAAAAAAUUGACAGUAACCGAAAACUUAAGUUAUUUUUACAGUCACAGGGUGUGGAGUUUCCUGACAUUGCGGUAGAUUUGUUUUUUGAGAGAGAUGCAGAGCUGAGGCCUCAAAAUGUUCGAAAGCAAGCAAAAAAACUCCAAAGAAAACCUCCAAAGCCUGAUUUAGAAGAUGACGCACCACCAGAGGGCACCACUGUGGACAUGCAGCAGAUUGUGAGUGCAAACAUGCAGUAUGAUUCCGGACUGGGCAGCAGUGAGCCUCAUGAGGCAGAGGAGAACAGGAAAGACUGGGCAGCAGAUAAAGACACAAUGACACAGGAGGUCAGUGACCAGGCAGCAGAUAAAGACACGAUGACACAGGAGCUCAGUGACCGGGCAGCAGAAAAAGACAAAACGCCACAGGAGCUCAGUGACCGGGCAGCAGAAAAAGACAAAACGCCACAAGAUCAGAAAGAAAACAAGUUGAAUAAACAUCACAGGCUGCUGUGUGAAUGGGUAAAGAAAAAAUGCCACAGUAAGGAAAACGUCAAAAAAACGUUCGACUGCAUUUCAAUUAAAAAUCAAGUGGUGCACAGUGAGUACCCGUGCUUCAUUGCAGAAAAGGUCAUGGUGUAUACAGACCCCCAAACUGGAGUAAGACAGAUCAUUGUCCCUGAUAAGAAGAAUGAGGCUGCCAAGAAAAACCUCUUAAAGGACACUAGAAUUUCCCUCAAUUAUCAUAUGUGGGUCUGUGGUGUUCAGAGUGCAGUGCUCAUCAAUCAGGAAGAAAAAGUCAUUCAUUAUGACCCGUCUUUUGAAGCCACUAUAAAACUGUGUGAAAGGUUGGUGUUUGAAGUCUUUGUCCCGACUCUAAUAUUGUUCAAGAACCUGCAGAGAGAGAUGUUCGACUCUCUCAUCACAACCACUAAAGAUCUCUACGGCGCUGACGUCGUGGACUCACAGGCAGAGUGAUUCAUUUACCUGCGUUCCAUGUCAUAUUUGAUUGGGAUUUGAAGUCUCUAUGCAGUAAAUGCCUGUUUGUUCUGCACAUCUCCACACAUACAAAGACAUUUUUUCCCCUUUCAUUCUGUCCACACAAGCCCUGAAAAGAAAAUUCAUGAAAAUGAAAACUGUCAGGCCGCUAAAGAGCAUGCCAGAACAUAAUGUAGUGUAGUGUGAUUCAAUUGCUUCACACACUUGCCUUAACAUUUUCAAAACCAGCUGUCUUGACAAUCCAAACGUUUGACGUCUGGCGUGAUCUCCCCUCAUCUGCUCCACAGCAGGGCAUGCGGGCGACUUUUCUAACACUGACAGGCGAUUUCAUUACAGUUGUCUGCUCUUCAACGUGCAGACGAAGCAGCUCACUCAACAACAACAGUGAUGUCCUUGACAAGCAAAGACUUUCUUGCCAUUCUUCUUCAACAAAUGCUUCGUUUUCAAAGUUGUAUCGUCUUGUCCAAAACUGGCGAUGUUGGUGGCAGGAUCGGUGUCGUGGGAGUGCUGGACCUAGCAGUGACCUCUUUAGCAGACUCCAACACCUCUGUUCUUCAGUGCAGCGUAGGGGAACCUGCAGAUUUAUGUGUAAACAUGUGACAAGUCCUCAUCUUCAAUCACACAAAACCAAGUGGUUGGUGUAGUGUAGUGGGUAACACCUGCCUGCUAUGCUGGGGAUCUACACACACACACCCCUAGUGGUGGACAGUAACUGAGUAAAUGUAAUGAGUUUCUGUACUUUAGUAUUUUUGGUGUAUCUGUACUGAAGUUUCUCCGUUCUGGGCGACUUUUUCCUUUCACUCCGCUACAUUUCAGAGUCUAAUAUCCGACUUUUUCCUCCUACAUUCUGAGAAAUCUGUCGUUCCUUUUGGUUUCUGUGUGUAUAAAUACGUAACAUGUCAAAACGAAAGAAGCGCAAAGCCAGAGCACCAAUCAGGGCCCAGCGGUCACUUUGUUUAGAGCUGGUUUUGACCUGUUGGUCAUACCGACCCAGUGCAGCACGCGGUUCAACGUCAGCGCAGCAGCGUAAAACUUUGGGAGAGUCUGUUCAACAUAAAUGAUGAACUAACCUAACUUUGUGUAAAUAGAGCACAAUGUAGAAAUAUGUCCACAUAUGCAGUCGAGACUGACGCGUUUCUAUUUUUCCAACUUUUUUUUUUAUACAUUUAAGUAGCAAAGUUAUGUAAGUAUGUUAUGUAGGCUGGGGUAAGGAAGGAGCGGUCAUGCGACUAUAAAAAGGGAGUCAGAUGAGAAGGGGUCAGAGCUGACUUGGGAGAUACAUGAUGCAUGUUCUCUGUUUGUAACCUCUCCAGAAUUCCGUAAUAAAACCGUUUGUUUCACUUCAGUCUGAUCUACUCGUCUCAUUUAUUUUGCAUCAACGAACACGCAGGACUGG